AUUGAACGCUGGCGGCAGGCCUAACACAUGCAAGUCGAGCGAGCGGCGGACGGGUGAGUAAUGUCUGGGAAACUGCCUGAUAGAGGGGGAUAACUACUGGAAACGGUAGCUCAUACCGCAUACCAUCAGAUGUGCCCAUAUGGGAUUAGCUGGUAGGUGGGGUAACGGCUCACCUAGGCGACGAUCCCUAGCUGGUCUGAGAGGAUGACCAGCAACACUGGAACUGAGACACGGGCCAGACGCCUACGGGAGGCAGCAGGGGGGAAUAUUGCACAAUGGGCGCAAGCCUGAUGCAGCCAUGCCGCGUGUGUGAAGAAGGCCUUCGGGUUGUAAAGCACUUUCAGCGGGGAGGCGUUACCCGCAGAAGAAGCACCGGCUAACUCCGUGCCAGCAGCCGCGGUAAUAC
rnacentral:rRNA from 1 species